rnacentral:rRNA from 1 species
GACUUUAUCCAUCACCCUGAGCAUGAUGAUCAUGUCUGAUUUCAGAAGUUCAGCAAGGUCAAGUCCAGAUGGCACUUGGAUGGGAGACCAACAGGGAAUACCAGACGCUGUACUGA